AUUUAUAUAGUUUAAAUAAAACAUUACAUUUUCAUUGUAAAAAUAAAAUAAAUAAUUUUUAUAWAUA
rnacentral:tRNA from 1 species